ACUCCUACGGGAGGCAGCAGUGGGGAAUCUUGGACAAUGGGGGCAACCCUGAUCCAGCCAUGCCGCGUGUGUGAAGAAGGCCCUAGGGUUGUAAAGCACUUUCAGUAGUGAGGAAGGCUUCGGGUUAAUAACCUGGAGUACUUGACGUUAGCUACAGAAGAAGCACCGGCUAAUUUCGUGCCAGCAGCCGCGGUAAUACGAAAGGUGCGAGCGUUAAUCGGAAUUACUGGGCGUAAAGCGCGCGUAGGCGGUUAGUUAAGUCGGAUGUGAAAGCCCAGGGCUCAACCUUGGAACUGCAUCCGAUACUGGCUAGCUAGAGUGCAGUAGAGGGAGGUGGAAUUUCCGGUGUAGCGGUGAAAUGCGUAGAGAUCGGAAGGAACACCAGUGGCGAAGGCGGCCUCCUGGACUGACACUGACGCUGAGGUGCGAAAGCGUGGGGAUCAAACAGGAUUAGAAACCCCAGUAGUCC
rnacentral:rRNA from 1 species